GCCUACGGGGGGCAGCAGUGGGGAAUAUUGCACAAUGGGGGAAACCCUGAUGCAGCGACGCCGCGUGAGCGAAGAAGUAUUUCGGUAUGUAAAGCUCUAUCAGCAGGGAAGAAAAAUGACGGUACCUGAGUAAGAAGCACCGGCUAAAUACGUGCCAGCAGCCGCGGUAAUACGUAUGGUGCAAGCGUUAUCCGGAUUUACUGGGUGUAAAGGGAGCGCAGGCGGGGCGGCAAGUCUGAUGUGAAAGCCCGGGGCUCAACCCCGGGACUGCAUUGGAAACUACCGCACUAGAGUGUCGGAGAGGG
rnacentral:rRNA from 1 species